rnacentral:rRNA from 1 species
ACUCCUACGGGAGGCAGCAGUGGGGAAUAUUGCACAAUGGGGGAAACCCUGAUGCAGCGACGCCGCGUGGAGGAAGAAGGUCUUCGGAUUGUAAACUCCUGUUGUUGAGGAAGAUAAUGACGGUACUCAACAAGGAAGUGACGGCUAACUACGUGCCAGCAGCCGCGGUAAAACGUAGGUCACAAGCGUUGUCCGGAAUUACUGGGUGUAAAGGGAGCGCAGGCGGGAAGACAAGUUGGAAGUGAAAACCAUGGGCUCAACCCAUGAAUUGCUUUCAAAACUGUUUUUCUUGAGUAGUGCAGAGGUAGGCGGAAUUCCCGGUGUAGCGGUGGAAUGCGUAGAUAUCGGGAGGAACACCAGUGGCGAAGGCGGCCUACUGGGCACCAACUGACGCUGAGGCUCGAAAGUGUGGGUAGCAAACAGGAUUAGAUACCCUGGUAGUCCACACCGUAAACGAUGAUUACUAGGUGUUGGAGGAUUGACCCCUUCAGUGCCGCAGUUAACACAAUAAGUAAUCCACCUGGGGAGUACGACCGCAAGGUUGAAACUCAAAGGAAUUGACGGGGGCCCGCACAAGCAGUGGAGUAUGUGGUUUAAUUCGAAGCAACGCGAAGAACCUUACCAGGUCUUGACAUCCGACUAACGAGAUAGAGAUAUGUCAGGUGCCCUUCGGGGAAAGUCGAGACAGGUGGUGCAUGGUUGUCGUCAGCUCGUGUCGUGAGAUGUUGGGUUAAGUCCCGCAACGAGCGCAACCC